rnacentral:rRNA from 1 species
GAUGAACGCUGGCGGCGUGCCUAAUACAUGCAAGUCGAGCGAACAGACGAGGAGCUUGCUCCUCUGACGUUAGCGGCGGACGGGUGAGUAACACGUGGAUAACCUACCUAUAAGACUGGGAUAACUUCGGGAAACCGGAGCUAAUACCGGAUAAUAUAUUGAACCGCAUGGUCCAAUAGUGAAAGACGGUUUUGCUGUCACUUAUAGCUGGAUCCGCGCCGCAUUAGCUAGUUGGUAAGGUAACGGCUUACCAAGGCGACGAUGCGUAGCCGACCUGAGAGGGUGAUCGGCCACACUGGAACUGAGACACGGUCCAGACUCCUACGGGAGGCAGCAGUAGGGAAUCUUCCGCAAAAGGCGAAAGCCUGACGGAGCAACGCCGCGUGAGUGAUGAAGGUCUUCGGAUCGUAAAACUCUGUUAUUAGGUAAGAACAAAUGUGUAAGUAACUAUGCACGUCUUGACGGUACCUAAUCAGAAAGCCACGGCUAACUACGUG